rnacentral:lncRNA from 1 species
UAGGAGUUGAGAAGAGGAGGAAGAAUAAUGGGAGGAGACAGGACGUUUUUCAACUUGACAAAUAGAUUUCUGAGAGAGCAGACACCAUCUUAUUUCUGUUGAAUUGUAUUUAGUAACUCAAAAGGCAUAUACCAAGCUGUCAGAAGCAGCUUCAUUUAAAAGAAUUAAAGCAGCAGCCUUGGAUCCAGAGAUGGACGCCAAUUGAUGAAGACGGCAGAACUGACUGGCUAGUCUGGGUUCCCUGGAGCAGAGCUGUCUCUCCACCCUAGGUUAUCCACUUACUUUUGUACUGUUAUGUGAGAG